CAGUAGCCGCGGGAAUACGGAGGGGGCUAGCGUUGUUCGGAAUUACUGGGCGUAAAGCGUACGUAGGCGGCUUUGUAAGUUAGAGGUGAAAGCCUGGUGCUCAACACCAGAACUGCCUUUAAGACUGCAUCGCUUGAACGUCGGAGAGGUGAGUGGAAUUCCGAGUGUAGAGGUGAAAUUCGUAGAUAUUCGGAAGAACACCAGUGGCGAAGGCGGCUCACUGGACGACUGUUGACGCUGAGGUACGAAAGCGUGGGGAGCAAACAGGAUUAGAUACCCCCGUAGUCCCUGUCUCUUAUAA
rnacentral:rRNA from 1 species